ensembl:snoRNA
AUGCCAGCCAAUAAGUCUGCUUAUCCGAAUGUGUUUCUGCAGAAAUUUAGAAAAAGCUGGCAAUCGUAAUGCCAUUUUAUGAGCCUCAGUGACAACUGAGAUCAUUAAGGUCCCUGAAAAUGACUACAAUA